rnacentral:tRNA from 1 species
UCCCGUGUGGUCUAGUGGUUAGGAUUCCUGGCUUUCACCCAGGUGGGCCAGGUUCGAUUCCCCGCAUGGGAA